GCCAGACUCCUACGGGAGGCAGCAGUGGGGGAUAUUGCACAAUGGGGGGAACCCUGAUGCAGCGACGCCGCGUGGGUGAAGGAGUAUUUCGGUAUGUAAAGCCCUAUCGGCAGGGAAGAAGCAAGACGGUACCUGACUAAGAAGCCCCGGCUAACUACGUGCCAGCAGCCGCGGUAAUACGUAGGGGGCGAGCGUUAUCCGGAUUCACUGGGUGUAAAGGGAGCGUAGACGGCCAAGCAAGCCAGGGGUGAAAGCCCGGGGCCCAACCCCGGGACUGCCCUUGGAACUGCAUGGCUGGAGUGCGGGAGGGGCAGGCGGAAUUCCUGGUGUAGCGGUGAAAUGCGUAGAUAUCAGGAGGAACACCAGUGGCGAAGGCGGCUUACUGGACUGUAACUGACGUUGAGGCUCGAAAGCGUGGGGAGCAAACAGGAUUAGAUACCCUAGUACC
rnacentral:rRNA from 1 species